GAUGAACGCUGGCGGCGUGCUUAACACAUGCAAGUCGAACGGUGAAGGCGGAGCUUGCUCUGCUGGAUCAGUGGCGAACGGGUGAGUAACACGUGAGCAAUCUGCCCCUGACUCUGGGAUAAGCGCUGGAAACGGCGUCUAAUACUGGAUACGAGCUGCGAAGGCAUCUUCAGCAGCUGGAAAGAACUUCGGUCAGGGAUGAGCUCGCGGCCUAUCAGCUUGUUGGUGAGGUAACGGCUCACCAAGGCGUCGACGGGUAGCCGGCCUGAGAGGGUGACCGGCCACACUGGGACUGAGAAACGGACCAGACUCAUACGGGAGGCAGCAGUGGGGAAUAGUGCACAAUGGGCGGAAGCCUGAUGCAGCAACGCCGCGUGAGGGACGACGGCCUUCGGGUUGUAAACCUCUUUGAGCAGGGAAGAAGCGAAAGUGACGGUACCUGCAGAAAAAGCGCCGGCUAACUACGUG
rnacentral:rRNA from 1 species